rnacentral:misc_RNA from 1 species
GAAAAUCUCUCAUCAAAUUAAUUUUUGGUGGAUGUUGAGUGCUGCUGCUAUCUAGCUCACUUUAAAUAUAUAAGUUCUUUCUACUAUUUGUUGGAUUGACUUGGUGUAAUAUCUUCUUUCAUCAAGGAAAGUAGCAAUACUUGCCAAUAAUAAUGGAAUGAGGACUCCUAAACAAUUGAUUUUAUUAUCAAUAACCUAUUUAUUU